UUAAGAUGUAAAGUCCAUGUUACAGUAAUUAUGAACAUGGUAAUAGUAAUUUCACCUUUUAACAGCCAUUCCAUAAAGACACUUUAAAUAAAAAACGGACUCUUUUGUACUAUUUUAACGGAUGGAUUUCUACGAGAUCUCCAGCAAUCACUGAGCGAUGCAACAGGAGAUGGGGUGGAAUCACCAACCCCACAAGCCUCUCUUUCUGCUUCAUUAAACUGGAGCACAAGAAAGAGCAAUUCUUCAGAGAGCUGGAAGGCAGCGAGACCUCGUCUGGUUAACCCCGCACUGGCACAAGAAAAUGUGGGAACCCGAAAGUGCCAACAGUGUUGGCGCAAUAUAGCUGUUCGUUGUCGUGAUUGUCUACCACGGCCCUUAUUCUGUGCGGAGUGCGACGUCGUCAUGCACACCAGACACCCCCUUCACAACCGAGACGCCAGUACUUUAGGAUUUUUCCAGCCAUUGCCCCCAACAACUACUGUACAGAAUAUGGACCUUUGCCAGUGUGUGCGGUAUGUACCUGUGGUCUGUGGAGAUCCCUCACCAAAUCUGUGGUUGUCCAACAGAGGCACUGAGGCUCAAACCAGGAAAAGCUGUGGCUGUGAUCACAAUGAAUGGGAGACAUGGGCUCAGCAUGCCUGAGUUGGCAUGUGAAGUGUGCAAAGCCACAUGGACUGCUGGUGUUGACGACAUUCUUCACAGCGACUACUGGCCAGCUACCCUGAACUUUGCCACCAUUUAUGAAACUGAUGUUUUUGCUUCAUUUGAAGAAAUGAAAAUGGCAGCACCUGGAUUGUCCUGUCAGGCAUUUUUAAAAAUGUUGGAUCAGAGAACUGUCCGCUUUGGCCGUACUGGGAAGAUCUCAGCUGACACCUUCACCAAAAGCUUUUUUGAGUGGGAGGCUGUACAAUAUGAGAUGGACAACAUAUGUAAGGAGGAUCCAUUCACCUGUCCUGCCUGCAGCCCGGAUAUGCUUGCGGUUUCCGUGGAUGGUAACCGCAAGCAUUACCACUUCA